GGGUUGUGAGGUUAAGCGACUAAGCGUACACGGUGGAUGCCCUGGCAGUCAGAGGCGAUGAAGGACGUGCUAAUCUGCGAUAAGCGUCGGUAAGGUGAUAUGAACCGUUAUAACCGGCGAUUUCCGAAUGGGGAAACCCAGUGUGUUUCGACACACUAUCAUUAACUGAAUCCAUAGGUUAAUGAGGCGAACCGGGGGAACUGAAACAUCUAAGUACCCCGAGGAAAAGAAAUCAACCGAGAUUCCCCCAGUAGCGGCGAGCGAACGGGGAGCAGCCCAGAGCCUGAAUCAGUGUGUGUGUUAGUGGAAGCGUCUGGAAAGGCGCGCGAUACAGGGUGACAGCCCCGUACACAAAAAUGCACAUGCUGUGAGCUCGAUGAGUAGGGCGGGACACGUGGUAUCCUGUCUGAAUAUGGGGGGACCAUCCUCCAAGGCUAAAUACUCCUGACUGACCGAUAGUGAACCAGUACCGUGAGGGAAAGGCGAAAAGAACCCCGGCGAGGGGAGUGAAAAAGAACCUGAAACCGUGUACGUACAAGCAGUGGGAGCACGCUUAGGCGUGUGACUGCGUACCUUUUGUAUAAUGGGUCAGCGACUUAUAUUCUGUAGCAAGGUUAACCGAAUAGGGGAGCCGAAGGGAAACCGAGUCUUAACUGGGCGUUAAGUUGCAGGGUAUAGACCCGAAACCCGGUGAUCUAGCCAUGGGCAGGUUGAAGGUUGGGUAACACUAACUGGAGGACCGAACCGACUAAUGUUGAAAAAUUAGCGGAUGACUUGUGGCUGGGGGUGAAAGGCCAAUCAAACCGGGAGAUAGCUGGUUCUCCCCGAAAGCUAUUUAGGUAGCGCCUCGUGAACUCAUCUCCGGGGGUAGAGCACUGUUUCGGCAAGGGGGUCAUCCCGACUUACCAACCCGAUGCAAACUGCGAAUACCGGAGAAUGUUAUCACGGGAGACACACGGCGGGUGCUAACGUCCGUCGUGAAGAGGGAAACAACCCAGACCGCCAGCUAAGGUCCCAAAGUCAUGGUUAAGUGGGAAACGAUGUGGGAAGGCCCAGACAGCCAGGAUGUUGGCUUAGAAGCAGCCAUCAUUUAAAGAAAGCGUAAUAGCUCACUGGUCGAGUCGGCCUGCGCGGAAGAUGUAACGGGGCUAAACCAUGCACCGAAGCUGCGGCAGCGACGCUUAUGCGUUGUUGGGUAGGGGAGCGUUCUGUAAGCCUGUGAAGGUGUGCUGUGAGGCAUGCUGGAGGUAUCAGAAGUGCGAAUGCUGACAUAAGUAACGAUAAAGCGGGUGAAAAGCCCGCUCGCCGGAAGACCAAGGGUUCCUGUCCAACGUUAAUCGGGGCAGGGUGAGUCGACCCCUAAGGCGAGGCCGAAAGGCGUAGUCGAUGGGAAACAGGUUAAUAUUCCUGUACUUGGUGUUACUGCGAAGGGGGGACGGAGAAGGCUAUGUUGGCCGGGCGACGGUUGUCCCGGUUUAAGCGUGUAGGCUGGUUUUCCAGGCAAAUCCGGAAAAUCAAGGCUGAGGCGUGAUGACGAGGCACUACGGUGCUGAAGCAACAAAUGCCCUGCUUCCAGGAAAAGCCUCUAAGCAUCAGGUAACAUCAAAUCGUACCCCAAACCGACACAGGUGGUCAGGUAGAGAAUACCAAGGCGCUUGAGAGAACUCGGGUGAAGGAACUAGGCAAAAUGGUGCCGUAACUUCGGGAGAAGGCACGCUGAUAUGUAGGUGAAGCGACUUGCUCGUGGAGCUGAAAUCAGUCGAAGAUACCAGCUGGCUGCAACUGUUUAUUAAAAACACAGCACUGUGCAAACACGAAAGUGGACGUAUACGGUGUGACGCCUGCCCGGUGCCGGAAGGUUAAUUGAUGGGGUUAGCGCAAGCGAAGCUCUUGAUCGAAGCCCCGGUAAACGGCGGCCGUAACUAUAACGGUCCUAAGGUAGCGAAAUUCCUUGUCGGGUAAGUUCCGACCUGCACGAAUGGCGUAAUGAUGGCCAGGCUGUCUCCACCCGAGACUCAGUGAAAUUGAACUCGCUGUGAAGAUGCAGUGUACCCGCGGCAAGACGGAAAGACCCCGUGAACCUUUACUAUAGCUUGACACUGAACAUUGAGCCUUGAUGUGUAGGAUAGGUGGGAGGCUUUGAAGUGUGGACGCCAGUCUGCAUGGAGCCGACCUUGAAAUACCACCCUUUAAUGUUUGAUGUUCUAACGUUGACCCGUAAUCCGGGUUGCGGACAGUGUCUGGUGGGUAGUUUGACUGGGGCGGUCUCCUCCUAAAGAGUAACGGAGGAGCACGAAGGUUGGCUAAUCCUGGUCGGACAUCAGGAGGUUAGUGCAAUGGCAUAAGCCAGCUUGACUGCGAGCGUGACGGCGCGAGCAGGUGCGAAAGCAGGUCAUAGUGAUCCGGUGGUUCUGAAUGGAAGGGCCAUCGCUCAACGGAUAAAAGGUACUCCGGGGAUAACAGGCUGAUACCGCCCAAGAGUUCAUAUCGACGGCGGUGUUUGGCACCUCGAUGUCGGCUCAUCACAUCCUGGGGCUGAAGUAGGUCCCAAGGGUAUGGCUGUUCGCCAUUUAAAGUGGUACGCGAGCUGGGUUUAGAACGUCGUGAGACAGUUCGGUCCCUAUCUGCCGUGGGCGCUGGAGAACUGAGGGGGGCUGCUCCUAGUACGAGAGGACCGGAGUGGACGCAUCACUGGUGUUCGGGUUGUCAUGCCAAUGGCACUGCCCGGUAGCUAAAUGCGGAAGAGAUAAGUGCUGAAAGCAUCUAAGCACGAAACUUGCCCCGAGAUGAGUUCUCCCUGACCCUUUAAGGGUCCUGAAGGAACGUUGAAGACGACGACGUUGAUAGGCCGGGUGUGUAAGCGCAGCGAUGCGUUGAGCUAACCGGUACUAAUGAACCGUGAGGCUUAACCUUACAACGCCGAAG
rnacentral:rRNA from 1 species